UACGGAGGGUGCGAGCGUUGUCCGGAAUCACUGGGCGUAAAGGCGCGUAGGCGGCCUGAUAAGUAGGGGGUGAAAAUCCUGCGGCUUAACCGCAGGGCUGCCUUCUAAACUGUCAGGCUUGAGCACAGUAGAGGCAGGUGGAAUUCCCGGUGUAGCGGUGGAAUGCGUAGAGAUCGGGAAGAACACUCAGUGGGCGAAGGCGGCCUGCUGGGCUGUUGCUGGACGCU
rnacentral:rRNA from 1 species